rnacentral:rRNA from 1 species
AUUGAACGCUGGCGGCAGGCCUAACACAUGCAAGUCGAGCGGAUGAAGGGAGCUUGCUCCUGGAUUCAGCGGCGGACGGGUGAGUAAUGCCUAGGAAUCUGCCUGGUAGUGGGGGAUAACGUCCGGAAACGGGCGCUAAUACCGCAUACGUCCUGAGGGAGAAAGUGGGGGAUCUUCGGACCUCACGCUAUCAGAUGAGCCUAGGUCGGAUUAGCUAGUUGGUGGGGUAAAGGCCUACCAAGGCGACGAUCCGUAACUGGUCUGAGAGGAUGAUCAGUCACACUGGAACUGAGACACGGUCCAGACUCCUACGGGAGGCAGCAGUGGGGAAUAUUGGACAAUGGGCGAAAGCCUGAUCCAGCCAUGCCGCGUGUGUGAAGAAGGUCUUCGGAUUGUAAAGCACUUUAAGUUGGAGGAAGGGCAGUAAGUUAAUACCUUGCUGUUUUGACGUUACCAACAGAAUAAGCACCGGCUAACUUCGUG